GACGAACGCUGGCGGCGUGCUUAACACAUGCAAGUCGAACGAAGUGGCGAACGGGUGAGUAACGCGUAAUCAACCUGCCCUUCAGAGGGGGACAACAGUUGGAAACGACUGCUAAUCCCGCAUACUGAAGGAGGGGAUUGCGUCUGAUUAGUUGGGUGGGGGGGUAACGGCCCAACAAGGCGAUGCUCAGUAGCCGGUCUGGGAGGAGGAACGGCCAAAUUGGGACUGGGACACGGCCCAGACUCCUACGGGAGGGAGCAGUGGGGAAUCUUCCGCAAUGGAAGAAAGUCUGACGGGGCAACGGCGCGUGGGUGAAGACGGCCUUCGGGUUGGAAAGCUCUGUUAAUCGGGGCGCGGUACCGAAAUAGAAAGCCACGGCUAACUACGUGCCAGCAGCCGCGGUAAUUC
rnacentral:rRNA from 1 species